GGAGAGAUGGCUGAGCGGUUUAAAGCACCAGUCUUGAAAACUGGCGAUCUGUAACAGGACCGGGGGUUCGAAUCCCUCUCUCUCCGCCA
rnacentral:tRNA from 1 species